rnacentral:rRNA from 1 species
GACGAACGCUGGCGGCGUGCUUAAUACAUGCAAGUCGAACGGAAAGGCCCUGCUUUUGUGGGGUGCUCGAGUGGCGAACGGGUGAGUAACACGUGAGUAACCUGCCUGUGACUUUGGGAUAACUUCAGGAAACUGGGGCUAAUACCGGAUAGGAGUUCCUGUCGCAUGGUGGGGGCUGGAAAGUUUCGGCGGUUGGGGUUGGACUUGCGGCUGAGUAGCUUGUUGGUGGGGUAGUGGUUUACCAAGGCCUUGACGGGUAGCCGGCCUGAGAGGGUGACCGGCCACAUUGGGACUGAGAAACGGCCCAGACUCCUACGGGGGGCAGCAGUGGGGGAUAUUGCACGAUAGGCGGAAGCCUGAUGCAGCAACGCCGCGUGCGGGAUGACGGCCUUCGGGUUGUAAACCGCUUUCGCCUGUGACGAAGCGUGAGUGACGGUAAUGGGUAAAGAAGCACCGGCUAACUACGUG